AAGCGGACCUCAUAAAGUAUGUCGUAGUCCGGAUUGGAGUCUGCAACUCGACUCCAUGAAGUCGGAAUCGCUAGUAAUCGUAGAUCAGAAUGCUACGGUGAAUACGUUCCCGGGCCUUGUACACACCGCCCGUCACACCAUGGGAGUGGGUUGCAAAAGAAGUAGGUAGCUUAACCUUCGGGAGGGCGCUUACCACUUUGUGAUUCAUGACUGGG
rnacentral:rRNA from 1 species